rnacentral:lncRNA from 1 species
UGAACUGAGAUAAAAUUGUUUAGCUGAAGGAAUGAACUGGAUCUGUAAAUUCUGGAUAGUGAAGGCCAUAUUUAUGUCAACUAGAUUAGCAAUUUGCACUCUCAAUUAGGGUAGAGUGCUUUCAGUGGAGCCCUUGCAGCUCCGUAGGAAAGUCAUCAGACCCCUUUCAAUGAGUAUGGUGCUUCUCACACUUAUAUUUCAAUCCGAGGUGUGUUCUAACUUCUGGGAAUUGCAUAGAUGAAGUUUGCAGUUCUCAUUAAAAUGAACUGGCAUUGAAGACCAAAUGUUUCCGAGUUGCAUGAACUCGUUUAUGCCAAUAUGCUUUUGAUAUUUCAAAAGAACGAGACAGGAAAAUGUGGCAAAAGGAUGAAAAAUAAAAGGGAAAAAGACAUAUACCCCCUUUCCUGUAAUUAUAAUCCCUUUGGUCCAUGGAACAUGGGCCCCCUCAAAUUUAAAAGAAAAUUACAUUUAACCUCUUCUCUACCUUUUUCAUAGUCCAAAUGACAAUAUUUAUUUAUUUAUUCUUUUCUAAUGACCCCGUCAUCCAAACCAUAGGAAAACUCCCCCGCUCGCUUCGUCACUUGUGAUCCCCUCCUUUUCUUUCUCACUUUCUCUCUCUCUCUCUCUCUCUNNNNNNNNNNNNNNNNNNNNNNNNNNNNNNNNNNNNNNNNNNNNNNCUUUACUUAUACCCGUACCGACUCCUAACCAACUAAGUAAACGUAACCCGUACCUCCGCUCGUCUACUCGUGUAUCCUCCUUCCUUUCUUCUACUUCUCUCUCUCUCUCUCUCUCUCUCUCUCUCUCUCUCUCUCUAUCAUACACACACACACACACACAAACAUGGGCCUCACAAAUAGGUUAAACAUACCAUCUCAUCUCAAAAUCCAUUCGGAUGAUAGACCUAAAAAAAAUGAUAUAAUUUGGACCAAGGUUUAAAAAAACAGAUCGGUGACUCGGAUCAGUCACUUCAAAAACUAUGUCGGAUUGGUGAUCUGGAUCGA